GACGAACGCUGGCGGCGUGCUUAACACAUGCAAGUCGAACGGAAAGGCCCUGCUUUUGUGGGGUGCUCGAGUGGCGAACGGGUGAGUAACACGUGAGUAACCUGCCCUUGACUUUGGGAUAACUUCAGGAAACUGGGGCUAAUACCGGAUAGGAGCUCCUGCUGCAUGGUGGGGGUUGGAAAGUUUCGGCGGUUGGGGAUGGACUCGCGGCUUAUCAGCUUGUUGGUGGGGUAGUGGCUUACCAAGGCUUUGACGGGUAGCCGGCCUGAGAGGGUGACCGGCCACAUUGGGACUGAGAUACGGCCCAGACUCCUACGGGAGGCAGCAGUGGGGAAUAUUGCACAAUGGGCGGAAGCCUGAUGCAGCAACGCCGCGUGCGGGAUGACGUCCUUCGUGUUGUAAACCGCUUUCGCCUGUGACGAAGCGUGAGUGACGGUAAUGGGUAAAGAAGCACCGGCUAAUUACGUG
rnacentral:rRNA from 1 species